UCGGGAAUUUUGGGCAAUGGGCGAAAGCCUGACCCAGCAACGCCGCGUGAAGGAUGAAGUAUUUCGGUAUGUAAACUUCGAAAGAAUAGGAAGAAUAAAUGACGGUACUAUUUAUAAGGUCCGGCUAACUACGUGCCAGCAGCCGCGGUAAUACGUAGGGACCAAGCGUUGUUCGGAUUUACUGGGCGUAAAGGGCGCGUAGGCGGCAAUUCAAGUCAUCUGUGAAAUCUCCGGGCUUAACUCGGAACGGUCAGAUGAUACUGCUUUGCUAGAGUGCAGAAGGGGCAAUCGGAAUUCUUGGUGUAGCGGUGAAAUGCGUAGAUAUCAAGAGGAACACCUGAGGUGAAGACGGGUUGCUGGGCUGACACUGACGCUGAGGCGCGAAAGCGUGGGGAGCAAACAGGAUUAGAUACCCCUGUAGUCCCUGAGCGGGCUGGCAAGGCGCGAU
rnacentral:rRNA from 1 species